GGAAGCGUGGCUGAGCGGUUGAAAGCGCCUCCCUGCUAAGGAGGUAGGGGAGUAAACCUUCCCUCGAGGGUUCGAAUCCCUCCGCUUCCGUCA
rnacentral:tRNA from 1 species